rnacentral:rRNA from 1 species
UACGAAGGGGGCUAGCGUUGCUCGGAAUCACUGGGCGUAAAGCGCACGUAGGCGGAUCUUUAAGUCAGGGGUGAAAUCCCAAGGCUCAACCUUGGAACUGCCUUUGAUACUGGGGAUCUCGAGUCCGGAAGAGGAGAGUGGAAUUCCUGGUGUAGCGGUGAAAUGCGCAGAUAUCAGGAAGAACACCCGUGGCUAAGGCGGCUCUCUAGUACGGUACUGACGCUGAGACGCGAAAGCGUGGGGAGCGAACAGG